rnacentral:rRNA from 1 species
CCUACGGGUGGCAGCAGUGGGGAAUAUUGGACAAUGGGCGCAACCCUGACCCAGCAACGCCGCGUGAGGGAAGAAGGCUUUCGGGUUGUAAACUUCUUUUAACAGGGAAGAGUAGAAGACGGUACCUGUCGAAUAAGCCACGGCUAACUACGUCCCAGCAGCCGCGGUAAUACGUAGGUGGCAAGCUUUUUCCGGAUUUACUGGGUGUAAAGGGCGUGUAGCCGGGUUGACAAGUCAGAUGUGAAAUCCUGCGGCUUAACCGAAGAACUGCAUUGGAAACUGUUGAUCUUGAGUGCUGGAGAGGUAGACGGAAUUCCUAGUGUAGCGGUGAAAUGCGUAGAUAUCAGGAGGAACACCAGUGGCGAAGGCGGUCUGCUGGACAGUAACUGACGGUGAGGCGCGAAAGCGUGGGGAGCAAACAGGAUUAGAUACCCGAGUAGUC